AGGCAACACCUCAAACAAAAAUAGGCAUAUGUGGACAGACCACCAUUGCCAUGAUCCAACUAGUGAAGGUAAGAAAAUACCAGUUUUCAUUCGGGAGAGCAAGUUCUUUGAACACCAGAUAUUGCCUUCAACAAGGGACAACAAUUUCUUCAUUGCCAGGUAUUGUUACUCAGACAACACCAAGUCGCAAUCGCCAGGUACUCUCACUAUCACCUAGUGAGCUGAAAUCACUGUAGUUUCUAUCCUUUACAAACACCUGCCAGACGUGAACUAGGACCUCCAAACCUUGUCAGCCACUUAGCCAUGCCACCAGAUAUGAAGAAGCAAUAACACACUCUUGAGUUCUUAAGUGCCUCUUUGGGAAGGUUUGAAGGAUAACCUAGUUCGUAGAUCAUGAACUCUGAUCAACAACCACGCCACCAGCUACGAAGAAGCAAUAACACACUCUUGAGUCCUUAAGUGACUCUCUGGGAAGGGUUGAAGGAUAACCUAGUUUGUAGAUCAUGAACUCCGAUCAACAAGGCAAACAUUACAACAAGUCUCUAGAUUAGCAUAUAUGGCCAUGCCAACAAAGGUUGAUGACUCAACCAUGAGAGGUAGCUCACCAAAUCCAUAGGGGAAAAUUCUAUUCGAGAUUUGGAUUACAACCCAAUUUUGACUAAUCAUGUCAUCAUGGGUCCUUGUGCCCCCCCCCCCACACACACACAUACACAUGCUUGAGGUGACAAAUUCUAUGGUUGGCUUCAAGAAUCAAAGGAUUUCAAUGCCCCACAUGCAAAAGAUGAUAAAAAACAAUGACAACAUCCCACAUGCAAGAAGUUUGAAACUAAUAAAAUCUAUAUAUUAUUCUCAAAAGUCAAACUGGGUAUCUAAAUGAAAAUUUGAUUGCAUCAUUGUAUUCCUUACAAACAAAUAAUAUUAAUAAUGUGAACAUAAGACUGAACAUCAUGAAUACUUUUUUAUUGUAUAGGACACAAUAGAAAAUGAACAUCAUGAAUAAAUUAUUGUUUGCAUGAUCAAAUGAUUGCAUACAAUGAAAAAUGAUUUCAAACGGGGAACAAAUGGUUUAGGGUUUAGUCCACAAAGUGAACAAGUAUGGUUUAACACAUUAAUAAACAAUUUUACAUGCAUAAAAAAAUAUCCAUAUCAUGAAUAUUAUUCUUGCUAGUGAACAAAUAUAUUAAAAUUAUUAUUAUCAAAAAAUUAAAGAAAAGAUAAGAAAAAGAAAAAAUUAAAAGAAAUGAAAAGUUAGAAUUCCUGGAAAGAAAAAAUAAAGGAGCAGAAAAAUGAUAACAAAAAAGAAACGAAUAAAUAGAAAUAGAAAUUAUAUGCAAAGAAUUAUAAAAAGGAAUAAUAAAACAAAAGGAGAAGAAAAGAGAAAAUAAAAGAAAACAAAAAAGGAAAAAAAUAAAACAUGGACCUCACUUGGGCCGCAGCCCUACUGGCUUGUGCAAGUGACGACAUGGGCUUCCAGGAUUCGACUUUUUUCCUAGCAAAACCAGUGGAGGGCCUUGCUCGAACCUUGCGAAGUGGUACCACGUGACUGACGACGUCGGCUGCCUGCGCAUCACAGAAGAGAAUUUUGCGGAUUCGGCAUCCGGCCGGCGGGCUUGGGGAUAAGCCCGCGCGCCCGUCCCCUACGGCCCUACAGGCCCCAGCAGCCCAGCGUCCAGCUCCUCCAGCACACCGAUUCCUCGAUCCCUCCCCAGUCCCCACAUCGGCGGUGACCGGAGCUGCCUCACCUCGCCGGAUCCGCCCCAGCUCGAGCGCCCAGGACCUCGCCGGAGCUGCACCACCUCGAGCGCGACGAGCCAGCGGCCCUCCCCUCCGCCGUUGCACCUCGCCUUCACCAGAGAUCCGCACACCGCGAACCGUCACCACCGGUUCAGUGUGGUAUGCCUUCUCCCUUCUUCAGUUCUAUCCAUUAUGGUUAGGAUCUAGGGUAGCACACUAGCAAUAGCAGGCAGUUGCUCCGAUUUGCAGGGUGCACAUGGUACUAUGGAAGUCGAAGUGCUAGUUAGAUUUGUUUCACCUAUUUUUUUUUUUUGUGUGUGUGUGUGCUGGCGAGUAGCUUCUACCAAAGAACAUUUUCUUACAAUUAAAUGCUAGAGCAUCAGGUUCAGAAAUGAGUUAAUUAUGUUGAACCUGAUGCGCUACCAAAGAACUUGUAUAGUAAAUGGAUCACUUGUCUCUCAGCAUAAUUGACUCAUUUGUGAAUCUGAUGCGCUAGCUCAGAAGUUAGGUGUUUUCCGAUGCCUUUUCUGUUAUAUUAUGUAUGGUAUUUACCUGUAGAAACUCUCUUUUACUAUUACAUGUAUAAGCUGCAUUCUUAUGUUAUGGGUAUGUGUGUAUCUAUGUACACUUUCGAAUUUUUAGUUGUAUAUAGUUUGUUAUAGCCAUACCACGAAAUAAAAAAAACCUAAUUACUGGACUUUUAUAUCAUAAAUGCAUUUUUUUCAUAGCUUUGUGCUGAUUUCAGUGGAUCCUGCAUUGUGAAAUGCUUGCCAAAGGGAGGAAGUUAGCUGGAAGGGGUGAAGAAAUGUCUGCACAUUAUGCAUUUGGACCACAGGAGGAUGAUGCGAUUAUUAAGCACAGGCUUCUGACUAGAACGACAACCACCAGGGGUGAACCACCACUAAAGAAGCUUCAGAAGAAGUUCAUGUCCUUUGCCACUGAGAUUGAGAAGGAUGCAGAUAACAUAAGUGACUAUGAGAGACUGUACAAGGCCUUCCUACAGGAAAUUAACACCUUUGAGCUUCCUCUUCUGAAAAGCAAGACUGUUGUUGAUGCAAACAUUAGGGAGAAGGAGAGCUUUAAUGAGCUGCAGGUUGAGAUUGAGCGACAGACCUUGCAAGCUCAGACUGAUAUUGAGGAUCUUAAGAAGCAACUUGAGCAGAGCAAGAUCGAGAGGCAGCACAAAGAGGAGUGUGAAGCAAUCCGAAAGGUGAUUUCUUUGCAGCCUCCACGGUCAGAAACUGAGAAACUCAUUGCAGAUCUUGAGAAGGAGAUUGCUGAUUUGGAGGCUGAGAAUGUAGCAUGUGUAAGGACUUUGGAACUAAGGAAGAAGCAAUUCGCCCUUCUUCUACAUGUGGUGAGUUUAUGCAUAAUGUCUUUUUCUUUGAGGUUGUGUUUUCUCUGUGUAUGUAACAGUGGCUCAUAGAAAUAGAGCACCCAAUUAAUAUAGUAUCUCAAUUCUCAAGUAUGAUGCUUUAUGAAUUUAAGGUGCUGACAUAUUUUAUGAAGUAACUGUCAGAUUAGGAUUAUGAUUAUAUGACUGAUUUCGGAGUUUUACAUGAGUGAUCACCUUUGAUUCUGCGUGAACAUUUAAUUAUCUACCUGCCUUUCUCAUUGGACCGGCAUCCAGUCAUGUGUCUCAUAUAAAUAGAAAGUGUACUUCCUUUUAAAUCAUAAUUCUCGUGCAGUUCUCUCUUGUUGGAAGCCUUCUUACAUAUUCAGAUAGCAUAGUUUAUUCAGCCACCUGUGUAGUAGAUUGACCUGGGAAUGUAUGUUCCUGCGUUUGUACCUUUUACAGGUUGACGAAUUGCAGAUCUCGGUUGAAGAUGAGCAAAAGAGUAUAGCAGAUGAACUGAGAGCCAUCGCUGAAGAGCAGAAGAUGAGCAUAGAAGAAGGCAGCGGCGGUGCUUCAGAUGCCAUGGCUGUAGACUGAUCAAGAUACAUUCACAUAUGUUGCAACCCUUGCUAGCAAAAAUGCACAUUGUUUUUGGGACACAUUAAAUCCUAACAAGUUGGUAGAUGUCUUUUGUCAUGGAUUUAUACCUCAUGUAAAUUGAACAGCAUGUGGCUUGUAAGGCUGGCCAGUCUCAAUGGGAGAUUUCGAGUUUCAUGACAUUAAAUUCUAUGCCACAUCAGCAAUUUUGUUGACUUGGCAAGGCAGUUAUGAGGAGAGAGGAGUGGAGAGUUUCAUCAGAUGAGAGGGGAGUUUCUCAUCCUCACGAAACUAAACAGGCACAGUCACCAUUGAGACUGGCCUGUCUGUCUGCUAUGAAGAGAAACUGAAGCACACAACGAAAGUCAGUUCUCCAUUCUCUGUUGUGCUCUCCAAUAUUUUUGUGCACUGAAUAAUGAUGUACUGUCAUUUUCUGGUUGAAGUGGAAUGGUCAAACUCAGCCGCAUUGAACACGUUCGCUUCUUUCUUUCAUGCAAAACCAUUCGUGGGACGCAACACGGGUCCGAACUGAUAAAACGCAGGAUACUUUUCAUGCAACUCAUGAGAGGUUUCCUUAAAAAUUCUUAUGGGUUGAGGAGUUCUAUAGGAAUUGGAAUUUCAUAUGAUUCUAAUGGCUCUCAAAUUCUUUGCUCCAAAGGACCUUGUACGAGAAAUUCCUAUAGAAUCAUAAUGGUGUUAGGUUCCUAAAAAAAUCCUUUGUUCCAAAGGAGACCUAAUAUUUAGGGGAGGAAAUCACAUCGUUCUUCAAAUUUUGCAUGUAGGACAUGGACAAUUCGCAGUGUCCACCAUGCAAAAUCAACGAGCAGUGUGUCCAGGAGGCCAAACAACAUUUUUUUUUUAUUGUUCCAGUUAGAGUUAGUUUGCUUUCUACAAUUUUAACUUGCUAACUUCUUAAUCUUUCUAAUUCAUUCGUUUAUCAUAAGCUAGGCAAAGAAUGUGCUGCGACAUUAAAUUAAUCAUGCAAGAAUGUGCCACGCAUUUGUGCAAAGGUCACCCAUCAUCCUUUUCAUUUCCUUCAGCAAAUGUCAAGAGCUUAUCAUGAGCCCCCGUUGCACAACAUCUAGUGCCGGGCAUGUGUCCAUUGGCACUGCACUAGACGACGAUGACUGGGCCUAAUUACAUCGUUUUGACUACUCAUCGUAGCCACUCUCUCAAAAGGGAGACCUCGAGUCCAUUUAGGACAUGGAAAGGGGCACUUUGGAAUCCCGGAAUCCAGCCACCUUUGCCCUCACGCUCGCUUUGAGAGUUGAGACUCUCGCCCAUCAUUGCCCGUUACGUGGCUGCUUGGAGCGUUCGUAGUUUAUGGCUCACGCGUGCAGCUUUGCCUGCUCUCCUGGGGACAAUGCCGCCAUGUUCAUUGCCGUGCCGCCCUUGGAUGCAUCAUACUGCUACUCGAUUUAAUUUUUUUUUUCCUUUUCUCUCUUUUUUACCUUUUUAAAAUAAGUCAUUCCAACAUUGGAAAUGGCGUGCAAGGAGAAUAAAAGGAGUGGUUCAUUGAAGGGCACAAAAAGCUGAAGAAUUGGCAGCCCAUUUCGGGGAGAAUGUCACAAAGUUUCAGGGUUGGCUAUCCAUUCCUCUCAAUUUAAAUAUCCCCGACGUACAUCUUAUCCGGCUCGUUGUUAUUGGGUCGUCAGCACAAUCAUGAAGACGCAAUUCUAUCUCGCUCUCUUGAAAGCGAAGAAAGAAGGAACUCAUCGUAGGAGACGAUAUCAUGUGUGCACGGAGGGUCAACGUCGUUUUCUCUAUACGCGCCUAAUAACCCUGUUAUUAAUUCCUUUGUCAUGUCGUCACACGCGUAUAGUUUUUUUUUUGCCCCAAGCCUACCGAAUAUGUUAUCCCUAUCUCUAAUAACAAGAUUCUAGGGAAUUCAAAAUUCAAAUUAGCUCAAGGAAGUGACGUUGCGGAUAUAUUUUUUUUCAGUAAAGGAAACAAAUGUCGCAGCCUUUUCAUUUUGCAAUGCACGCAACCUGGUCUUUAUUACAAUUUUCAUUCAGAAGCAAUGUUCGGAGAAAAAUAAGACAUUAUGUAUGUGGAUAAAUCAAUCAUGAAAUAGUAUAUAUUAUUAAAUGAGUGGAUUUCAUAUGUGGUCCGUAAACUUGUCCUAAGUUCGCAUCCAAAUCCACAAACUAUAUAUCCAAAUGAGCUCUUUUUUUCUUUUGAAAGAUCAUAUCCAAAUAUAGUAAAUAGCUCCAUAGCUUUGCUUGCAACAAUGCCUAGAAAUGCAGGCCAUAGAUUUCCAUAAAAAGGAUAAUUGAUAAUAGUAAUAUGUUUGGAUUUGUCAAAAAUCAGAUCGUGCCAUCUGCCAUGCGUAUAGUAUUAGCCACCACGAAGCACGAUGCCUAUCUUUUGAUAUUUCUCCCCACACCCAAAAUGUUACCGGCGGUGAUGAAACGCUAAACUCGGUCACUAUCCUCAAAUUAGCAAAUGAGAUCCGAGUAACCAAUGAAGCAAUCAAAGAGGUCGAUAGGAUGACAAGGCAACAACACAGAUAUAUGCAGACGCCCUACGGUACCCGAUCUGUUACUGUGAUCUCGUGACCGCUAGCAACAAGAGAAAGAAAAAGGGAGCUCACCGGCAAGGCGGAGGGGCGCCGACGGAGAAGGCCGGCCGGCCGUGGAGACGGGACUGUUGGGUGAUGGCGCAAGCUGCCGCCUUGCCGGCGCCAUGUAGGCCUGGGGCUAGGGGCAGGGGCAGUGGGCACUUCGGCGACGCCGACGUGGUUUGUAGCCUUGCGAUUAUGGCGGUGGGGACGAUGACACGGCCGAUGGAACGCGAGCCUAUCCACAAUGG
rnacentral:lncRNA from 1 species